UUGCUCCUUUGACGUUAGCGGCGGACGGGUGAGUAACACGUGGAUAACCUACCUAUAAGACUGGGAUAACUUCGGGAAACCGGAGCUAAUACCGGAUAACAUAUUGAACCGCAUGGUUCAAUAGUGAAAGGCGGCUUUGCUGUCACUUAUAGAUGGAUCCGCGCCGUAUUAGCUAGUUGGUAAGGUAACGGCUUACCAAGGCAACGAUACGUAGCCGACCUGAGAGGGUGAUCGGCCACACUGGAACUGAGACACGGUCCAGACUCCUACGGGAGGCAGCAGUAGGGAAUCUUCCGCAAUGGGCGAAAGCCUGACGGAGCAACGCCGCGUGAGUGAUGAAGGUCUUCGGAUCGUAAAACUCUGUUAUCAGGGAAGAACAAAUGUGUAAGUAACUGUGCACAUCUUGACGGUACCUGAUCAGAAAGCCACGGCUAACUACGUGCCAGCAGCCGCGGUAAUACGUAGGUGGCAAGCGUUAUCCGGAAUUAUUGGGCGUAAAGCGCGCGUAGGCGGUUUUUUAAGUCUGAUGUGAAAGCCCACGGCUCAACCGUGGAGGGUCAUUGGAAACUGGAAAACUUGAGUGCAGAAGAGGAAAGUGGAAUUCCAUGUGUAGCGGUGAAAUGCGCAGAGAUAUGGAGGAACACCAGUGGCGAAGGCGACUUUCUGGUCUGUAACUGACGCUCAUAUGCGAAAACGUGGGGAUCAAACAAGGAUUAGAU
rnacentral:rRNA from 1 species